AUUGAACGCUGGCGGCAUGCUUUACACAUGCAAGUCGAACGGCAGCGCGGGCUUCGGCCUGGCGGCGAGUGGCGAACGGGUGAGUAAUGCAUCGGAACGUGCCCAGUCGUGGGGGAUAGCCCGGCGAAAGCCGGAUUAAUACCGCAUACGACCUGAGGGUGAAAGCGGGGGACCGAAAGGCCUCGCGCUAUUGGCGCGGCCGAUGUCGGAUUAGCUAGUUGGUGGGGUAAAGGCUUACCAAGGCGACGAUCCGUAGCUGGUCUGAGAGGACGACCAGCCACACUGGGACUGAGACACGGCCCAGACUCCUACGGGAGGCAGCAGUGGGGAAUGUUGGACAAUGGGGGCAACCCUGAUCCAGCCAUGCCGCGUGCGGGAAGAAGGCCUUCGGGUUGUAAAACGCUUUUGUUCGGGAAGAAAUCCUCUGGGCUAAUACCCCGGGGGGAUGACGGUACCGGAAGAAUAAGCACCGGCUAACUACGUG
rnacentral:rRNA from 1 species